UUAUGCUGGUUACAUGGACAUAGGCGGGUACGCCAAGGAAGCUCGAGGCAAUUGCAGAUUUGUAAUGCCCCUAGAUGUCCUGGGUCGCACGCGUGCUACAAUGACGCCACGAACGAGCUUGCGUGAUGAAAGUUACGCAUAAUCAGCAGUCGGCGUCUUAAGGGAUAGUCUCUUGUAACUGUGGGACUCCAACUAGGAAUGUCUCGUAAGCACAAGUCAACAUCUUGUGUUGAUUACGUCCCUGCUCUUUGUACACACCGCCCGUCGCUCCUACCGAUCGAGUGUUUAGGUGAAUUUGAUGGACGUAAGGAAGUCAAAUAAACCUGAGCACUAGAGAAGAGAGUCUACAUC
rnacentral:rRNA from 1 species